rnacentral:tRNA from 2 species
GCGUCAGUGAUCGCCGGCCGUUGCCGCCUCCGGAGCCGAAGGUCGUGGGUUCGAAUCCCGCCUGGCGCA